rnacentral:rRNA from 1 species
UGCAAGUCGAGGGGCAGCGGGGUAGCAAUACUGCCGGCGACCGGCGCACGGGUGCGUAACACGUAUGCAACCUACCUUAAACUGGGAGAUAGCCCGGGGAAACUCGGAUUAAUACCCCAUAACACAGUGAGGCCUCAUGGUUUUAUUGUUAAAGAUUUAUCGGUUUAAGAUGGGCAUGCGUUCGAUUAGCUAGUUGGUGAGGUAAUGGCUCACCAAGGCUACGAUCGAUAGGGGGUCUGAGAGGAUGAUCCCCCACACUGGUACUGAGAUACGGACCAGACUCCUACGGGAGGCAGCAGUAGGGAAUAUUGGUCAAUGGAGGCAACUCUGAACCAGCCAUGCCGCGUGUAGGAAGAAGGCGUUCUGCGUUGUAAACUACUUUUGAUUGGGAACAAAUGACUCUUGCGAGAGUAGCUGAGUGUACCAAUAGAAUAAGCCACGGCUAACUACGUGCCAGCAGCCGCGGUAAUACGUAGGUGGCAAGCGUUGUCCGGAUUUAUUGGGUUUAAAGGGUGCGUAGGCGGCUUUGUAAGUCAGUGGUGAAAGCCGAUCGCUUAACGAUCGAACUGCCAUUGAUACUGUAGGGCUUGAGUAUAGAUGAGGUAGGCGGAAUUGACAGUGUAGCGGUGAAAUGCAUAGAUAUUGUCAAGAACACCAAUUGCGAAGGCAGCUUACUAAGUUAUAACUGACGCUGAGGCACGAAAGUGCGGGGAUCAAACAGGAUUAGAUACCCUGGUAGUCCGCACCGUAAACGAUGAUCACUCGCUGUGUGCGAUAAACAGUACGCGGCCAAGCGAAAGCGAUAAGUGAUCCACCUGGGGAGUACGCCCGCAAGGGUGAAACUCAAAGGAAUUGACGGGGGUCC